GACGAACGCUGGCGGCGUGCUUAACACAUGCAAGUCGAACGGAAAGGCCCUGCUUUUGUGGGGUGCUCGAGUGGCGAACGGGUGAGUAACACGUGAGUAACCUGCCCUUGACUUUGUGAUAACUUCAGGAAACUGGGGCUAAUACCGGAUAGGAGCUCCUGCUGCAUGGGGGGGUUUGGAAAGUUUCGGCGGUUGGGGAUGGACUCGCGGCUUAUCAGCUUGUUGGUGGGGUAGUGGCUUACCAAGGCUUUGACGGGUAGCCGGCAUGAGAGGGUGACCGGCCACAUUGGGACUGAGAUACGGACCAGACUCCUACGGGAGGCAGCAGGGGGGAACAUUGCACAAUGGGCGGAAGCCUGAUGCAGCAACGCCGCGUGCGGGAUGACGGCCUUCGGGUUGUAAACCGCUUUCGCCUGUGACGAAGCGUGAGUGACGGUAAUGGGUAAAGAAGCACCGGCUAACUACGUG
rnacentral:rRNA from 1 species